rnacentral:rRNA from 1 species
CCUACGGGAGGCAGCAGUGAGGAAUAUUGGUCAAUGGGCGAGAGCCUGAACCAGCCAAGUCGCGUGAAGGAUGAAUGAUCUAUGGGUUGUAAACUUCUUUUAUAUAGGAAUAAAGUGAGGCACGUGUUCCUUUUUGUAUGUACCUUAUGAAUAAGCAUCGGCUAACUCCGUGCCAGCAACCGCGGUAAUAAGGAGGAUUCGAGCGUUAUCCGGAGUUAUUGGGGUUAAAGGGGGCGUAGGGGGGUAAUUAAGUCAGGGGUGAAAGUUUGUGGCUCAACAAUAAAAUUGCAGUUGAAACUGGUUGACUUGAGUAUAUUUGAGGUAGGCGGAAUUCGUGGUGUAGCGGUGAAAUGCAUAGAUAUCACGCAGAACUCCGAUUGCGAAGGCAGCUUACUAAACUAUAACUGACACUGAAGCACGAAAGCGUGGGGAUCAAACAGGAUUAGAUACCCUUGUAGUC